rnacentral:rRNA from 1 species
UACGUAGGGUGCAAGCGUUGUCCGGAAUUAUUGGGCGUAAAGAGCUCGUAGGCGGUUUGUCGCGUCGAAUGUGAAAACCCGGGGCUCAACCCCGGGCCUGCAUUCGAUACGGGCAGACUAGAGUUCGGUAGGGGAGUCUGGAAUUCCUGGUGUAGCGGUGAAAUGCGCAGAUAUCUGGAGGAACACCGGUGGCGAAGGCGGCAUCCUGGACCAACACGGACGCUGAGGAGCGAAAGCCAGGGGAGCAAACGGG